GAUGAACGCUGGCGGCGUGCCUAAUACAUGCAAGUCGAGCGAACGGACGAGAAGCUUGCUUCUCUGAUGUUAGCGGCGGACGGGUGAGUAACACGUGGAUAACCUACCUAUAAGACUGGGAUAACUUCGGGAAACCGGAGCUAAUACCGGAUGAUAUUUUGAACCGCAUGGUUCAAAAGUGAAAGACGGUCUUGCUGUCACUUAUAGAUGGAUCCGCGCUGCAUUAGCUAGUUGGUAAGGUAACGGCUUACCAAGGCAACGAUGCAUAGCCGACCUGAGAGGGUGAUCGGCCACACUGGAACUGAGACACGGUCCAGACUCCUACGGGAGGCAGCAGUAGGGAAUCUUCCGCAAUGGGCGAAAGCCUGACGGAGCAACGCAGCGUGAGUGAUGAAGGUCUUCGGAUCGUAAAACUCUGUUAUUAGGGAAGAACAUAUGUGUAAGUAACUGUGCACAUCUUGACGGUACCUAAUCAGAAAGCCACGGCUAACUACGUG
rnacentral:rRNA from 1 species